rnacentral:rRNA from 1 species
UCGAGAAUCUUCGGCAAUGGGCGCAAGCCUGACCGAGCGACGCCGCGUGCGGGAUGAAGGCCCUUGGGUUGUAAACCGCUGUCAGAGGGGAUGAAAUGUAUGUGGGUACUCCCAUGUAUUUGACAUAGCCUCAGAGGAAGCACGGGCUAAGUUCGUGCCAGCAGCCGCGGUAAUACGAACUGUGCAAACGUUAUUCGGAAUCACUGGGCUUAAAGGGUGCGUAGGCGGCUCAUUAAGUAGGGUGUGAAAGCCCCCGGCUCAACCGGGGAAUUGCGCUCUAAACUGAUGGGCUGGAGUGAGAUAGGGGUGUGUGGAACUUCCGGUGGAGCGGUGAAAUGUGUUGAUAUCGGAAGGAACGCCGGUGGCGAAAGCGACACACUGGGUCUCAACUGACGCUGAGGCACGAAAGCCAGGGGAGCAAACG